GAAGCCAGUCGCAGAUACCAGCUGGCUGCAACUGUUUAAUAAAAACACAGCACUGUGCAAACACGAAAGUGGACGUAUACGGUGUGACGCCUGCCCGGUGCUGGAAGGUUAAUUGAUGGGGUCAGCCGCAAGGCGAAGCUCUUGAUCGAAGCCCCAGUAAACGGCGGCCGUAACUAUAACGGUCCUAAGGUAGCGAAAUUCCUUGUCGGGUAAGUUCCGACCUGCACGAAUGGCGUAAUGAUGGCCAGGCUGUCUCCACCCGAGACUCAGUGAAAUUGAACUCGCUGUGAAGAUGCAGUGUACCCGCGGCAAGACGGAAAGACCCCGUGAACCUUUACUAUAGCUUGACACUGAACAUUGAGCCUUGAUGUGUAGGAUAGGUGGGAGGCAUUGAAGUGUGGACGCCAGUCUGCAUGGAGCCAACCUUGAAAUACCACCCUUUAAUGUUUGAUGUUCUAACUCGGCCCC
rnacentral:rRNA from 1 species